AGAUUUUUGUGCUCAUUCAGAGUGAGAAGAUCAAGAAUGACUACACGUGUCUCUGGUUGGCAAGAUGCUACAUCGUGAAUCGUAAGGCCAGACUAGCCUGGGAGUUGUACCUUAAGAUGGAGACGUCUGGCGAAUCGUUCAGCCUGCUGUAGCUCAUUGCCAACGACGGCUACAAGAUGGCCAGUUCUACUAUGCGACCAAGGCUUUCGGUGUCCUGGAAAGAUUGGACCCCAAUCCUGAAUACUGGGAAGGCAAGCGAGGGGCGUGCGUGGGCGUAUUCCAGCAGAUCAUAGCUGGCCAUGAACCAAGAGAAACACUGCGAGACAUCCUCCAAAUCUUGCGCAACACCGGUAACCCACAGGUGGAAUACAUCAUCCGUGUCAUGAAGAAGUGGGCCAAGGACAACAGGGCACCAGUUUCCUGAGGUGGUCCCUAUCCUAGUCUUGAGAUUGUUUAAAUAUGUACAUUCCAAGAAACUCCUGCUUGCAAAGGGAUUUUCCAAAAAUAAAAUAAUGGAACAAUACUGUUGAUUAAUUUAGGAGUGAUUUAAUUGGUCUUCACAUUGGCAAAUUUGCCUUGAAACAUUUCUUUAUUUAGCUUUGGCAAGGUGGUUAUGCAGGAGAAAACAACAGUUCUGGAGAGAGGCUAGUCUCUCAUGGCAUAAAACAAAGUAGGCUUGCCUAGUUAAGCUGGACU